UGAGCUUGAUCCUGGCUCAGGAUGAACGCUAGCGGCAGGCUUAACACAUGCAAGUCGAGGGGUAUAGUUCUUCGGAACUAGAGACCGGCGCACGGGUGCGUAACGCGUAUGCAAUCUACCUUUUACAGAGGGAUAGCCCAGAGAAAUUUGGAUUAAUACCUCAUAGUAUAUAGCCCUGGCAUCAGGAUUAUAUUAAAGUCACAACGGUAAAAGAUGAGCAUGCGUCCCAUUAGCUAGUUGGUAAGGUAACGGCUUACCAAGGCUACGAUGGGUAGGGGUCCUGAGAGGGAGAUCCCCCACACUGGUACUGAGACACGGACCAGACUCCUACGGGAGGCAGCAGUGAGGAAUAUUGGACAAUGGGCGCAAGCCUGAUCCAGCCAUGCCGCGUGCAGGAUGACGGUCCUAUGGAUUGUAAACUGCUUUUAUACGAGAAGAAACAUCCCGACGUGUCGGGACUGACGGUAUCG
rnacentral:rRNA from 1 species